CGAGUACGAGAUGCUACGGCAUCGAAGCAGUCUAUGUCAUACUUCCAAGAAAAGCUUGCACUGUCAUAAACAAAGAAUGCCUGUACCAUAACCGACACAGGUGGGUAGGUAGAGUAUACUAAGGGGCGCGAGAUAACUCUCUCUAAGGAACUCGGCAAAAUGACUCCGUAACUUCGGGAGAAGGAGUGCCUUAUUUCUAAGGUUGCAAUAACAAGAUCCAAGCAACUGUUUACCAAAAACACAGGUCUCCGCUAAGUCGUAAGACGAUGUAUGGGGGCUGACGCCUGCCCAGUGCCAGAAGGUUAAAGAAGUUGGUUAGCAUUAGCGAAGCUGAUAACUGAAGCCCUGGUGAACGGCGGCCGUAACUAUAACGGUCCUAAGGUAGCGAAAUUCCUUGUCGGGUAAGUUCCGACCCGCACGAAAGGCGUAAUGAUUUGGAUACUGUCUCGGAGAGGGGCUCGGUGAAAUAGACUUGUCUGUGAAGAUGCGGACUACCUGCACCUGGACAGAAAGACCCUAUGAAGCUUUACUGUAACUUGAGAUUGAAAUUGGACUUUAUUUGCGCAGUAUAGGUGGGAGGCGUUGAGAAUAAUCUUGCGGGAUUGUUGGAGCCAUCAGUGAGAUACCACUCUUGUAAUGUUAGAUUUCUAACUUUGUAUCAUUAUCUGGUCAAAGAACAGUUUCAGGCGGGCAGUUUGACUGGGGCGGUCGCCUCCCAAAGGGUAACGGAGGCGCACAAAGGUUUCCUCUGAACGGGUAGAAAUCGUAUCUAGAGUGUAAAGGCAUAAGGAAGCUUGACUGUGAGACCUACAAGUCGAGCAGGGACGAAAGUCGGUCUUAGUGAUCUGACGGUGCUGAGUGGAAAGGCCGUCACUCAACGGAUAAAAGUUACUCUGGGGAUAACAGGCUGAUCUCCCCCAAGAGUUCACAUCGACGGGGAGGUUUGGCACCUCGAUGUCGGCUCAUCGCAUCCUGGGGCGGUAGUCCGUCCCAAGGGUUGGGCUGUUCGCCCAUGAAAGCGGUACGCGAGCUGGGUUCAGAACGUCGUGAGACAGUUCGGUCCAUAUCCGGUGUAGGCGUUAGAAUAUUGAGAGGAGCCUUCUCUAGUACGAGAGGACCGAGAAGGACAUACCUCUGGUGUACCAGUUAUCGUGCCAACGGUAAACGCUGGGUAGCUAUGUAUGGAGUGGAUAACCGCUGAAAGCAUCUAAGUGGGAAGCCCACCUCAAGAUAAGUAUUCCC
rnacentral:rRNA from 1 species